UACGUAGGCAGCGAGCGUUGCUCGGAAUUACUGGGCGUAAAGAGUGUGUAGGCGGUGCUCUAAGUUCGGUGUGAAAUCUCCUGGCUCAACUGGGAGGGUGCGCCGGAAACUGGAGUGCUUGAGCGUGGGAGAGGAAAGCGGAAUCCUGGUGUAGCGGUGAAAUGCGUAGAUAUCAGGAGGAACACCUGUGGUGUAGACGGCUUUCUGGACCAUAGCUGACGCUGAGACACGAAAGCGUGGGUAGCAAACAGG
rnacentral:rRNA from 1 species